CCUACGGGUGGCAGCAGUGAGGAAUCUUCCACAAUGGACGAUAGUCUGAUGGAGCGACACCGCGUGAAGGAUGACGGUCUAACGAUUGUAAACUUCUUUUCUGAAGGAGCAUAAUGAGAGUACUUCAGGAAUAAGGGACGGCUAAUUACGUGCCAGCAGCCGCGGUAAUACGUAAGUCCCAAGCGUUACUCGAAAUUACUGGGCGUAAAGCGUUUGUAGGCGGAUAAAAAAGUCAGAUAUGAAAGACCGAGGCUCAACCUCGUGUAUGUAUUUGAAACUCUUUAUCUAGAAUCAGGGAGAGGUAAGCGGAAUUCGAAGUGUAGGGGUGCAAUCCGUAGAUACUUAGAAGAACACCAAAAGCGAAGGCAGCUUACUGGAACUCGAUCGACGCUGAGAAACGAAAGCGUGGGGAGCGAAGAGGAUUAGAUACCCUUGUAGUC
rnacentral:rRNA from 1 species